AGCUACAAUAAUAAUUCGAUUUAUAGGUACAGGUGAACUUUGACUUGUAGAGGUCACUUUAAAUUCGAGAGUUGCAGAGAGAUUUUCCGCAGUGAAGCGGAAGGGAAUGAACAAAAUUUUCGGCUUAUAGAGAUUUUCAACUGCAUAAUAUAUAGAAUUAUUUUUUUAUUACUUAAACUAUCAUAAGUUUGAAAAUAUCGUUGCGAUAUUUUAAGUCUCCAAUGUCAGGAGAUACGAGCGUUUAUCGAAUCUCUGGAGCGAAACUGCUCGGGACAAUUCGUUCCCGGGGUCGUUC